rnacentral:rRNA from 1 species
AGCUAAUAGACUACCCCGGUACGUCCCAGCAGUAAACGGUGCGCGUUUGGUGUGAGCAGAUUCGACUCUGUUCGCGCCGGAGCUAACGACGUUAAACGCGCCGCCUGGGAAGUACGAUCGCAAAGAAUUAAAACUACAAAAGAAAUUGGACGGGGGCCCGCACAAGCGGUGGAGUAUGUGGCUUAAUUCGAUGCAACGCGAAGAACCUUACCUGGGUUUGACAUGCAUCUCUAAGGAGGUGAAAGCUUCCGAGGGUAGCAAUACCCGAUUUGCACAGGUGCUGCAUGGCUGUCGUCAGCUCGUGUCGUGAGAUGUUGGGUUUAAGUCCCGCAACGAGCGCAACCCUUGUAUGCUGUUGCUAUGCUUACGCAUAGCUCUCUGCGUAGACUGCCCCGUGAAACGGGGAGGAAGGUGGGGAUGACGUCAAGUCAGCAUGGCCCUUACACCCAGGGCUGCACACGUACUACAAUGCUCAGUACAAUUAGAACCUGCCCCGCGAGGGUUGGGAAA